GAAGGGAUAACCAGAUCGUGCAGUCGGACCUCCUGUAUAUCACAGGCCAUCAACAGCAUUCAGCAUCUACACACUAAACCCAACCACCAAAAUUAGAUCAAAAUAUUAAGCCCCCAGGAGCCUGAACUAUUAUGUGCCACCAGCAGAGAAUAGGAGGGAUUGAAGUACACUGAUGUAUCAGGCCCCUGGAAUGGCAGGGGAUUAAUUAAGUGAGAUAUACCUAGAUAAUCCCAGCAGGUGACUUGCACACCAUGCUGCAGAGGAAGGUGGGAAAAAAACCCUAGGUCCCUGCCAAUCUGAUCUGGGGGAAAUUCCUUCCCGACCCCACACAUGGUGAUCAGUUAGACCUUGUACAUAUGUGAAUGAACCAGCCAGCCAAGCACCAGAGAGCAAGAAUACUCGGUGCUACUUCAGAGCACUGGCCGAUCCCCACUCCGGUGUCCCAUCUCCAGCCGUGGCCAUCUCUGAUGCUUCAGAGGAAGGAUAUGCAACAAACUCCCAGAAUACAUUGCAAUCUCUUCCUGACCCCUGCAGGGGACCGAAACCGGCAAUACUCUCUUUACAGCUGAUAGUCAAUUUCCAAAAAAAUUGAGAUUGAAAAAAAGAAUUGCACAAAAAUAUUUUAAAAACUGCUCCUGGGAAAUUGUCCCCCGUUUCCCCCCAGCUUAAAACAUAAGGGUCCUUUGGGGAGAGAGGCCUGGCAUCCACAAAGCAGGUUACAUCAUCCUAAUCAAAUCAGGCAAUGGUGUACGUCGCUCUGCAUCUAUUAUGCCUUUCGUAUGGCGAAUUGGGUAGGGAGGUGGAGGAGGCUGCACAGUGUCCAUCUGGCAAUGAGCACUAAAGCCUCCCAAGUAAUCAUUCAGCCUAAAUUGCAUUAAUUUCUGUGCUGUUCCCGCUCCAUGUUAUGACAUUUCACUUUAGGGUGGGGUUACAAGGUAGCUUAGAGUGGGAGAGUCCUUAGCUAGAACAUCUGCAAUGGAGUGGCUUUAUCAAGGAGACAGAGAAGGGGUCUCGGACCCAGUGAGCAGCAGCACUGGAGAUCGGCGUCACUGGCUAGCUGGGAUUGUGCCUCCAAUCGAUCAUCCAAGAUCUGCGACUUCCAGGGCCUUGAACUCCUUGUUGGUUCUGAUUCUCCAGUGGCCUCUCAGAAAGAUGUGGAGAAAACUCCAUAGAGGUAACCUCCCAGAGGUUCACUCUCCCACGGUGCCACCCCAGCGAUGGGUUUUCCCUCCCCCAUUCAGCACAGUCCGUCUGCUCAGCGGCAUCGUUGCCUUGUGAAUUGUUCCCUCCCU
rnacentral:lncRNA from 1 species